rnacentral:rRNA from 1 species
CGGAGGAUCCAAGCGUUAUCCGGAAUCAUUGGGUAUAAAGGGUCCGUAGGCGGGUUUAUAAGUCAGUGGUGAAAGCCCAUCGCUCAACGAUGGAACGGCCAUUGAUACUGUAGAUCUUGAAUUAUUAGGAAGUAACUAGAAUAUGUAGUGUAGCGGUGAAAUGCUUAGAGAUCACAUGGAAUACCAAUUGCGAAGGCAGGUUACUACUAAUGGAUUGACGCUGAUGGACGAAAGCGUGGGUAGCGAACAGGAUUAGAUACCCUGGUAGUCCACGCCGUAAACGAUGGAUACUAGCUGUUCGGAGCAAUCUGAGUGGCUAAGCGAAAGUGAUAAGUAUCCCACCUGGGGAGUACGUUCGCAAGAAUG